UACGAAUGGGGCGAGCGUUGUUCGGAAUCACUGGGCUUAAAGCGUGCGUAGGCGGAUAUGAAAGUCAGAAGUGAAAGCCCAGGGCUCAACCCUGGAACUGCUUUUGAAACUUCAUAUCCAGAGUCCCGGAGAGGUUAACGGAAUUCCGAGUGUAGAGGUGAAAUUCGCAGAUAUUCGGAGGAACACCAGUGGCGAAGGCGGUUAACUGGACGGGUACUGACGCUGAGGUACGAAAGCGUGGGGAGCAAACAGG
rnacentral:rRNA from 1 species